rnacentral:rRNA from 1 species
GUGGUUAAUUCGAUGCAACGCGAAAACCUUACCACCUUUGACAUGUACGGAAUCCUUUAGAGAUAGAGGAGUGCUCGAAAGAGAACCGUAACACAGGUGCUGCAUGGCUGUCGUCAGCUCGUGUCGUGAGAUGUUGGGUUAAGUCCCGCAACGAGCGCAACCCUUGUCAUUAGUUGCCAUCAUUUGGUUGGGCACUCUAAUGAGACUGCCGGUGACAAACCGGAGGAAGGUGGGGAUGACGUCAAGUCCUCAUGGCCCUUAUGGGUAGGGCUUCACACGUCAUACAAUGGUCGGUACAGAGGGUUGCCAACCCGCGAGGGGGAGCUAAUCCCACAAAGCCGAUCGUAGUCCGGAUCGCAGUCUGCAACUCGACUGCGUGAAGUCGGAAUCGCUAGUAAUCGUGGAUCAGCAUGUCACGGUGAAUACGUUCCCGGGUCUU